rnacentral:rRNA from 1 species
GAUGAACGCUGGCGGCGUGCCUAAUACAUGCAAGUCGAGCGAAAAGACGAGGAGCUUGCUCCUCGCUCGUUAGCCGCGCACGGGUGAGUAACACGUGGAUAACCUACCUAUAUGACUGGUAUAACUUCGGGAAACCGGAUCUAAUACCGUAGAAUAUCUUGAACCGCAUGGUUCAAUGGUGAGAGACGGUUUUGCUGUCACUUCUAGCUGGAUCCCGGCCGCUGUAGCUGGUUGGUAAGUUAACGGCUUACGAAGGCGACGAUGCGUAGCCGACCUGACGGGGUGGUCGGCGACCUUGGAAGUGAGACGCGGUCCAGACUCCUACGGGAGGCAGCAGUAGGGAACCGUAGGCAAUGGGGGGAAGCCUGACGGAGCAACGCCGAGUGAGUGAUGAAGGUCCUCGGAUCGUAAAACUGUGUUAUGAGGGAAAAACAAAUGUGUCAGGAAAUAUGCACGUCUUGACGGUACCUAAUAAGGAAGCACCGGCUAACUACGUG